rnacentral:tRNA from 1 species
AGGGUUGUGGCUCAGUGGUGGAGCACUCACCUUGUAUGUGUGAGGUACUGAGUCUGAUCCCCAGCAACCCAU